rnacentral:lncRNA from 1 species
AGAAGUUCUGGCCUGUUCCGAAGGCUGCGGGGGUGCCGGUUAAGUUUGUAGACUGCGGCAUAGGAACAGAAGCUACUCCAGAAGCAGAUGCAGUGUUGGAAUUCAAGCCCCAAUCCACCGUGUCUAUACACCUUUUUACCACGCAGCUGCUCCAGUGACUCGAACUUUGGCAUCAUCAGAUUGAGAUUCAAGUAUGGCUUCUACCACUUCUACCACAUGGGACACUGGACAGAUAACUUCGACUCCAAGCCUUGAUAUUUUUAUCUAUAGAAUGGAACACAAAGUACAAACAACUACAACACUGUUUAACUGGCCUGAAGUCAGAGAUCAGUAUGGGUCAAAGCUGGAAUGGGAACACUCGUCUAACUCCGGAGACCACGCCCUCUAUUGUCUCCCCUCUUUCCAAACCCAGACCUGGCCAGAUUUUGCAUAAUACCUGCUAACACUACCAACUCAGGCCAAAAUAAACAUGGCCCUUUCCCAAUGUGCUGCGAUGAU